rfam:Aquimarina sp. RZW4-3-2 contig, whole genome shotgun sequence.
UGACGUGUAGCUUAAUAGGAUAAAGUACUCGGCUUUUAACCGAGGUGAUGUAGGUUCAAUUCCUACUACGUCAA